ACAGUAGCGCUGUUGAUCGAGGACAAGGCGAUUGCCCAUCUUAAGCUCCGGCUUGGUGCUCUCGCGGCGGACAGGGCGCUACGCGCCUAUCGCGAUCGCCAUCGCAGUUCGAUGCGAGCUUCCGAAUCGUUUUCGCUGAUUAGCCGCGGGGCGUAUUCCGGGCUCGCAACGCAUCCCAUGAACGACAGCGAGAUACUAAUCGCGAAUGGAUCUGAC
rnacentral:misc_RNA from 1 species